CAUGGAUCUCCCUCAAUCAGGGAUCUCCCAUUAUGGCUAACGGUCAUUAGCUUGAAAUCAGUACAUAAUUAGGACUCUAUUACUUGUGUGAAUAUCUCGUAAAUCCUACAGUUUAUUAUUCAAUAAACAAACCACAAUUCUUUUAUCUCUAAUUGUUUUGGAUCUCUAUCAUUAUUCAACUUGGUAUCAAGAACCUUGUUUUUUUUUCAGAUCCUCAUGAUUCAAUUUUUUUUCCAGUAAAUUUGUUUUGUUCAUCUUUGGUUCAGAUUCUCAAUCCAUAUCCAUCAUUCCUAUAGUCAUCUCUGAAUUCGUUCCUUGAAGGGCCCCUUCGAUUUCUAUUUUCCUUUUUGAAUUAGGAUUGAUUCACGAGAUACCUUGUCAACAAAAUUUUAUGGGCAUAACUAUCCGAUUUGGAAGUUUCAUCUCAAAGCCUUCAUUAGAGGCAAAGGCCUCCUUGAUAAUUUGGAUGGAUCAAAGGUUGUACCCACAGAAGACAAAGAAAAAGACGCUUGAGAGGCUGACAAUGGCAAAAUUAUCGCAUGGCUUGUCAAUUCCGUCUCUGUUGAUAUAGCCAUGGAACAUACAGAUUUUGAGAAAGCAUCAGAAAUGUGGAGUCAUCUACAUACCCUCGGUAUCCAACAAAAUCUUGCUCGAGAAUUUGAAUAAUUACAGAAUCUAUACAAGGUGAGAAAAAUGUUUGUUGUUUCUAUUUUGUAUUACUCACAUUAUGGGAAGAACAAGAUCAGGUUUUCGCCACCUCUAUCCCUGCGGCUGGAUUGAAGGAUUUCAUGACUACUAUGAAGAGGACAAGGACAACCCAAUUUCUAAAGAAACUCAGGCCCGAGUUCGAGCAUCUGCAUGCUAGUAUUCUUAACAGGGAAAAACAACAAGCUUUGGAGGUGGUAGUUUCUGAAGUUCUUCAAAAGAAACUCGGUUGAGUUCUCAAGCUUGUCAAUUUCGUCUCUGUUAAUAUAGCCAUGGAACAUACAGAUUUUGAGAAAGCAUCAGAAAUGUGGAGUCAUCUACAUACCCUCGGUAACCAACAAAAUCUGGCUCGAGAAUUUGAAUAAUUACAGAAUCUAUACAAGGUGAGAAAAAUGUUUGUUGUUUCUAUUUUGUAUUACUCACAUUAUGGGCAGAACAAGAUCAGGUUUUCACCACCUCUAUCCCUGCGGCUGGAUUGAAGGAUUUCAUGACUACUAUGAAGAGGACAAGGACAACCCAAUUUCUAAAGAAACUCAGGCCCGAGUUCGAGCAUCUGCAUGCUAGUAUUCUUAACAGGGAAAAACUACAAGCUUUGGAGGUGGUAGUUUCUGAAGUUCUUCAAAAGAAACUCGGUUGAGUUCUCAAGCUUCCAUAAAUAAUUCCCUCACCAUGGACACCACCUUGGCUGGAUAUGGAAGUUCUUCCUCACGCAACUCUAACCAACUAGUUCAAUGAUAUCAUUGCAAGGAAACAUGGCACGUUAUUUCCCACUGAAAACGAUCAACUCCUCAUAAAGCCCUCCAAGCAAUGACAAGGGAUACUGGAACACGAGAAACACUAAGCACAAAAGUGCUUGAUCGCAAAUGAUAUCUACAAAAUGGUACAAGAAUCAUUAGUGGCUGCUCUUACUAAUGCAAUCUCUACAGCUCUGACUGCCACGUAUCCUGAACAUAUUGACAAGGGAAACGAUGGCCAGGGGAAGUAAGGUCGGCAGGCUGUUUCUUCUUCAAUCUCAGGAUUCCAAAAUCCAUUAUUAAAGUUUUCUUUCAGCUUCAAAUAAAGAUAUCCAAUUUUCAAAUAAAAUGUGAAAUGUGGCAUCUCUGUUUAGGUCAUCUACACGUUUCUCGGUUAAAUUUUAUGCUCAAAUGUUGUAAUUUGUUGGCAAACAUUCACUGAUUUUCCUCUCUAAAUUACCUUGUGAAAGUUGUGCAAAAUCAAAGUCAUAAAAUUCCUUUUCAAUUAAGCAGUACAAAUUAUAUUUCUCCCUUUGAUUUAAUUCAUAGCGAUGUUUGGGGACCUUCUCCAACUAUAUCUCGUUUGGGAUACAAGUAUUUCAUUCUAUUCAUUGAUCAAGUAUCUCGUUAUACAUGGAUUUUCUUCUUGAAACACAAGUCUGAGGUACCAAAAACUUUCAAAAAAAAUUUAUGACCUUAUAGAAACCCAAUUUGAGAAAAGAUCAAGAUUUUUCAUCAGAUUCAAGAGGGGAAUAUAUAAAUACAAACUAACUAUUUUUUUCAAGAAAAAGGCAUAAUUCAUCAUCGUUCUUGUCCGUAUACACCAGAACAAAAUGGUGUGGUGGAACGUAAUAAUAGACAUGUUGUUGAAACUGUAUUAUCCCUUCAUGAUACUUCAAAAGUUCCAAAAAUAUUUUGGGUUGAAGCAAUCCAAACAUCUAUUUAUAUCAUAAAUAGACAAUCAUCCUCGAUCAUGAAAUAAAAUUUUCCUUAUUUUAUUCUUUUCAAAAAAUUGUUUGACUUUUACAUCUUAAUGUAUUUGGUUGUGUGUGCUUUGUUCUUCUUCAAGGUCAUGAACGUCAUAAAUUAUCUUCAAAAGCCAUUAAAUGUGUUUUCUUAUGAUAAAUGAUAUUCAAAAGGGGUAUUUGUGUUAUGAUUCAACACAUCGUUCAUUAUUAAUCUCACGGCAUGUUAUCUUCUUUGAGAAUUCUUCAAUUUAUACUAACAAAGACUCACAAAUCUCUACUAUGUCUUUCCUGAAUAAACUUUCUUCUCAUGAUGCUGCUUGUCAUAGCCAUCUUCCUGCUGGUCCUUCCUCGACCAUGUCCUCUACCACAUCAGGUUGUAGUUGUGGAGGUUCGGUUGAGGUGGUAACAGUACCC